AUUGAACGCUGGCGGCAUGCCUUACACAUGCAAGUCGAACGGCAGCACGGGAGCAAUCCUGGUGGCGAGUGGCGAACGGGUGAGUAAUAUAUCGGAACGUGCCCGGUCGUGGGGAUAACGUAGCGAAAGCUACGCUAAUACCGCAUACGAUCUACGGAUGAAAGCGGGGGAUCGCAAGACCUCGCGCGAUUGGAGCGGCCGAUAUCAGAUUAGGUAGUUGGUGAGGUAAAGGCUCACCAAGCCGACGAUCUGUAGCUGGUCUGAGAGGACGACCAGCCACACUGGGACUGAGGACACGGCCCAGACUCCUACGGGAGGCAGCAGUGGGGAAUUUUGGACAAUGGGCGC
rnacentral:rRNA from 1 species